rnacentral:rRNA from 1 species
UACGAAGGGGGCUAGCGUUGCUCGGAAUCACUGGGCGUAAAGCGCACGUAGGCGGCUUUUUAAGUCAGGGGUGAAAUCCUGGAGCUCAACUCCAGAACUGCCUUUGAUACUGAGAAGCUUGAGUCCGGGAGAGGUGAGUGGAACUGCGAGUGUAGAGGUGAAAUUCGUAGAUAUUCGGAAGAACACCAGUGGCGAAGGCGGCUCACUGGCCCGGUACUGACGCUCAGGUGCGAAAGCGUGGGGAGCAAACAGG